GACGAACGCUGGCGGCGUGCUUAACACAUGCAAGUCGAACGGAAAGGCCCUGCUUUUGUGGGGUGCUCGAGUGGCGAACGGGUGAGUAACACGUGAGUAACCUGCCCUUGACUUUGGGAUAACUUCAGGAAACUGGGGCUAAUACCGGAUAGGAGCUCCUGCUGCAUGGUGGGGGUUGGAAAGUUUCGGCGGUUGGGGAUGGACUCGCGGCUUAUCAGCUUGUUGGUGGGGUAGUGGCUUACCAAGGCUUUGACGGGUAGCCGGCCUGAGAGGGUGACCGGCCACAUGGGGACUGAGAUACGGCCCAGACUCCUACGGGAGGAAGCAGGGGGGAAUAUUGCACAAGGGGCGGAAGCCGGAUGCAGCAACGCCGCGUGCGGGAUGACGGCCUUCGGGUUGUAAACCGCUUUCGCCUGGGACGAAGCGUGAGUGACGGUAAUGGGGAAAGAAGCACCGGCUAACUACGU
rnacentral:rRNA from 1 species